CGCUACAUUCCAACUAUGUUUCAUCAGGCGUGGACCUGCAAUUAUUUCAGGGAAGUUUGGAGCUUUUAAUAUCUCAUUGUGCACAUUUAGUGAACGAGCCUGGGCUGCAGAGAACAGGGGAAGGUGUUUCCUGUGAUUUCUCGUCCCCACCCUUGAAAGACCAGCAGAGGAUGAGAGAUGGGAACUUCCUCACACAAACACAGACUAUUUUGGACGGGACCUAUUGUGUGGCUCCCUGGGCCGGCAAAUGUCAAUGUGCCCUGAGCAGACCCUGUGUGUAGUUUGCACCUCAGGCAUAUAUAGGCCUACCUCCCCAAAUGGGAAUUAGGCAUAACAAUCCCUACUUUCCUCCCUUUUCACUGUAAUCAGAGCCUCUAUCUGUUUGCUGGUAAACUCUGAUAUCUGGACAAUAAUACAACAUUGAACUCUACUGUUCUGUUGAGCAACCAUGAAGCAAACGCACCAGGGCUGCUGCAAGAUAAAAGGGAGGCCAUCCCAUUCGAAAUGACCAACGGAUGAGGACGAGCUCUUACAACCCAAAAAAUGGUCCAGAUCCCUUCACCUUCAACGAUCUAAACUGUAUGGACUAUCAAAUAUGGCGUCACAGAAUCCCAAAAGUUACUAAAGUGGGAACAUUUGUAUAUGGUUUGUGAGUAUUGUAGGAUAUGCGGCUCUUAACUGAACACGUGUCUGUUAGAAGAUAUAGCAUUUUUUAUUAUGUACGUCAUUGUUUUGUGUAUUCCAAUUUUGAUGGUAAUUUAGUCAAGAAAGAAUUGUGAUUUUAACUUAAUCAAGACCAACAUCCAGACAUUUUAGUCAGGAAAAUUAUGCUGGAUCCUGAAUUAAUAUGAAUAAAUUAACCCAAAUUGUCAUUGUCUGAGUGUACGAUGAUUGUUUGUCUCACCCCUGUAUUCAAGAUACUGGUUUUGAUUUGAUUAAAUGUACUGAACCUGAAUUCAACACACAAUUCCUCGAUUUAAACCAGUUAGUGACCAGUACACAUGGUUAACAAGUGUUUGUAUGCUUUAAACCUGUUUAAAAUAAUUAUUUAGUUUUCAGUGUAAAUGCCAGGAUUGUAAAGAUGAGCUCUUUUACCAGUAAGUUUCCUGCUUUUGAACAAGUUAUUUUGUAUAUUAGCUGUUCUUGUCAGAAAACAUUUGUCAAAUGUUUCCCAAGGAGGGUUGGGUUUGUUAAAAUCACAGAUGUAUGUUUUAUAAAAUUUGGGGUGAAAGCAAAUAAACUAAAUGUGUUUCUUUUUUGUAAAGGAGCAAUCCAUAAGAUUUCCCUCUGGUCAAUGUUUAUUUGAAUUUCUCAAAUACAGAACAG
rnacentral:lncRNA from 1 species